GGAGAGAUGCCCGAGUGGACGAAGGGGGCUGACUCGAAAUCAGUUGUGCCGUUACGCGGCACCGGGGGUUCGAAUCCCCCUCUCUCCGCCA
rnacentral:tRNA from 1 species